rnacentral:rRNA from 1 species
UACAGAGGUGGCAAGCGUUGUUCGGAAUUACUGGGCGUAAAGGGCGCGUAGGCGGUUCGUUAAGUCCUGUGUGAAAUCCCCCGGCUCAACUGGGGAACUGCACAGGAAACUAGCGGGCUUGAGUUCGGGAGAGGGAAGCGGAGUUCCGGGUGUAGCGGUGAAAUGCGCAGAUAUCAGGAAGAACACCAAUGGCGAAAGCAGCUCUCUGGGACGGUACUGACGCUGAGACGCGAAAGCGUGGGGAGCGAACAGG